UACGUAGGGUGCGAGCGUUGUCCGGAAUUACUGGGCGUAAAGAGCUCGUAGGUGGUUUGUCGCGUUGUUCGUGAAAACUCACAACUCAAUUGUGGGCGUGCGGGCGAUACGGGCAGACUGGAGUACUGCAGGGGAGACUGGAAUUCCUGGUGUAGCGGUGGAAUGCGCAGAUAUCAGGAGGGACACCGGUGGCGAAGGCGGGUCUCUGGGCAGUAACUGACGCUGAGGAGCGAAAGCGUGGGGAGCGAACAGG
rnacentral:rRNA from 1 species